ACCUGCCUCCCAAUUUUCGGUGAGUGGUGUAGCCCUGGGCGGCGUACAAAGUGUGCGACGGCGGCGCUUACCCCUGUUGCGCGCCUCCUUACCUCCAGUUUCCCGGUUAGCGCGCGCGGGGACCGCCACCCCACCCCUCCCUUCCCCGGCGGCGCGUGCCCGUGGAGCUAGGUGUCGGCAAGACUAAUUAAUCGCGACGCCUGGAAAGGGUUUCGCUCUUGCGGUGAGAGGCGCUGUGCGAGCGCAAAGCCAGCCCUACCGCCAAGGAGCAGGAGGCGGGCGGCGCGCCGGCGACGAGCGCGCGAGAGCCUGAGCGGCGGUGGCCGGAGGCCGCAGAGUUGGUGCGCGGCGGCGGCGUCCUCCCAGGCCGGAGGGGUGGAGGGCCGAGGGGUGUCCUGGAGGCCCGCGGCCCGGCCCGGGCACUGCGGGGGAGCCCCUGCAACAGACGGAGAAGUAGUUUAUUGACCACGAAUUUGUUGGAAAACUCUCAAGUGUCCCCACCCCAGGACGUGGUAGGAGCGCACUGGGGUUCAGGGCAGCGACGCUAAAGUUCCUCAGAGCCGUUGCUCACUUUUCCUGGGACCCUGGAUGAGUCACUUGCUGCCACACGGGUGUCUGCUUGGGUACAGUUCAUUCUUUCAUUCAUUCAUUCAUCCAUUCAACAGGUGGUCGGGCCAUGUGGCCCACCUGGUGCCCAGGUGAUAAGGCUAAUAAGACUUGGCGACUGCCUUGGAUGCGUGGCCGGCCUACCUGCCAGGAAACCCAGACGGGCAAAGUGGUCAUGAAACUCUCUCCCUUACUUUUGGCCUUAUCUGACUUUCUCAACAGUCAGGAAAGCGUGGGGUGGCUAGGGAAAAAGGAAGGAAGGAAGGAAGCCCACCUGUAAACGGAAACACGCUUACCAUACCUAGGGGUACCGGGAGGGGUGGGGGCUGUGGAUCCUUCCAGAGGCCUUGAGUACACUGUCUAUAACAUUCUAAGUUUUCUUUGAAAGCAGAAGGACACUGUUAACCAUUCAACUGAACUACUGAAAUCCCCCUUUGCCGAAAAGUAAGAAGAGGUGGAGAGAAGGAGAGGUUACCUAUUAUUUCUCUUGGCCCCGUCAGGUAACACCUCUAUCCCUGCUCUACAAGGCCCCCCCCCCCCCCUUUUUUUAUGGCUCUGAAAGACAACGGAGGGCAACGCAAAGUCGCUAAAGACCCUGGGCACGAAGAACAGGAAGCAAAAGCCGCUCCGGAGCCUCAUAACCUGCAGCUGCUAGGCCUCCGAGGGCCUCCGACCUUCUCCAACCUCCGCGAACUGCUGAGCGCGCCUUCUCACUGCACACGCACGCAGAGGGAGCCACGUCUCCCAUGACACUUCCGGCUGCGGCCUGGCCUCCCUUCCACCCCAAAACGCACCUUCUUUUGAAAAGAGCUCCAAAGAGAUAUGUUGGAGGUUAAUACUUUUCCCCUAAACCCAAGUGGAUGAAGAUGGUAAAGGGACAGACCCAAAUGCGCCUAGAGGCCGCUUGGACAGGAAGGCCUCACGGGCAAGGAUUCCGCGGCUUUUUGAAGGGGUCACGGCUCACUCACAAUCAUUCACCGACUAGCCCCGAAACGACUGGUUAUCUUCCCCUAGUCAAUAAAAACUUCUUGAUUGAAUUCGACGAACUGAUCGUCAUUUUGGAAAACUGGCAAAGACGGAGAAGGAGGAGGAACAGGCCAGAAGUUUCUGUUACGCUCCAUUUGUUCAAAAGCAUCUUCCUUCCUGCUUCUGAUGUGGCAAAACACAAAUACACUGUAUUUAAGAGGAACAGCUAAAGGGUAACCAAUACAGACGGCCUCCAUACUUAUGCCAGUAGCUACACAUCACUGGGGUGACUCUACUGCUGAGUCUCCUUAUUUGGAAAUCCUGGAGCUGGGUUACCGUCUCCCCCCUUCUCGAUAAACAUCACACCUGAACUCUGAAAGGGGUGAAGCUGUCCCAUGUCACACACAGACACAUAUUCCACGCAAAGGCACAAUGGGGGCUAUUGUCCCGGAAACGUAUCCAACAAGGUCAGGGCUUCGCUCAUUUCGACUUCUAACCCAGCAGGCCACCCUCCAGGGGUUUUUGUUUUGUUUCGGCAUAGGCUUCACCUAUAUGGCGUUGUGGCCGCUGGCGGACACACAAGGCAUUUACUUUGUAAAUAAAUGACAGCAGGUGGAAUCAAGGGUUUACAGGAGGCACACAACUCAGCAGCUUUCACGACUUGUACCGCGUGGAUUAAUUGCAGAUGGCCCGUUCAUUUAUUAAGACCCAGGUGACAGAAGGGCCCAGCGAUCGGGAGGACAAACUGCUUUGGGGGUCCAUUUACAUAAAAUGAGAAGAUCGGAUUAUUGAUGAACCCCCCCCCACCCCCGCCACACUUCCUUAAUUGUAAAUUAUGACUUGCCAACGAUGGCAGGCUAAUGGAAGCGACCGCGGAAAGAAAGGAAGUUGGCCACCUGGAGAAAGCAAUACCUGCACUAUGCAGGUAAAGGCAUCGAUGAAAUGAAAGUCUAACUUCUCCCCCCUCCCCACCCCGGGGGAAGGCGGUGGCUGCAGCACAGCGAGAGGAUGCGGGUUCCACUGCCCCUGUUCUCCCCUAUGUGGGAAGCGUCUUGUACAAGCCAGCAUUGGGAAGGACGAGCUAUCCCUGCAAAGCCAAGGGAGCUAUGGGUUAGACCGCCCCCCCCCACCCCUGCCGCUCUGAAAUCCCCUAAGGGUUAAUAGGUGAACAGUAGCAGCUUGGAAUGAUUUAUUUUUCUAAGGAACAUUAAAUACUGAAUUGCUCAGGCUGAAAUAAUGCCACAGCUGUGCCCCGCAGGGCUGGAUUUUGGACACCGGCUCGAGUGACAGGUGUACUUAAUGAAUGCCCAGCUUGGCUGAAGUGGUGCCCCACUCAGAUUUUCCCCACCGAUUAAUUGGUAGGGGACUCUGGAGCCAGCCAGGAAAGUGCCUUUCGCCACAGACACAGAAGACCAUGUGUGCUCAGCCAUCAACAAAAACGCCAGCCUCGGGGUGGCGGGCGGGGGGCGGGGGGGGGGGUGGCGCACGGAAAAUGGAGGCAUUGCUCCCUGAACAUAAAACAAGAAAAUCCGGACCCUGGAAGGUGGGGGAAAGACAAGGUGGGAGCCGAGAGAACUGAUCAGGACCAAACCCUUCCAGGUUUUCAAGCAAACAAGUCUGUCCUAUAACCGCCUCUUGGAGGGUUUUAGCAACCGAAGCGAGCCCGGGAUUCUAGGAGACGUGUCACCAAAAUUGGUAUUAUUAGAGGAAGUGGCACCAAGCUAGAAACACAGAGUCUAAUCUGCAACAUACUAAUUAUACCUAUUUUUACCCCAGGGUUGCAGUGACCUAACGCCAAGAAAUGAAAUCUCUAGAAAACUAGCCCUUCACGUGUACGAGACGCAAACACCUUGGGGGUGGGGGCCGCGGGGCAUCGGCUCCACGGAGUCCGUGGGUCCCCUCUGGGGCGAGAAGUCAGCGGUCACCUGCGAAGGCAGUGGAUUUUCAUGGGAACUUGGCAGCAGUGGAGGAAGCCAAGUAAGGCUCUAGACCAAACCUUGGGCGUUCUGGGCUGAUGUCAGCAUGCUGGUUAGAGGGCCACUCUGGAAUGUCAGUCUGGCCUGGGCACAGUUGACUACUCCCACAGGGCGUCCCGGUCUACAGAGGGAAGGAAGGCGGCCAGGCUUUUUGUCGAGCCGACAUGGAUCCUGCACGAGGCUUUCCUUGGUCCGUCCCCCGUGUGCACGGGGCCCCUGUCUCUUGGCCAGAUGGGGCUGAUGGUAGGGGACCAGCUCCGGACGCCGCCACUUUGGAGACUGGUUCUAGUAACGCUGCUUCUAAGAUGGUGGAAGGUGUCGAGCGGCUGAAAGCAGUGUCGGGCUUUUUUGCUUCCUACCCUUCACAGGUGAUCUCUGCCUCGUGAGCACCGGGGUUCCCUUCAUAAUUGGCUCCCCAGAGCUGGAUGCCACGGAGCAGAGCCGUGAAAGAACCUUUCCAAGGAAGCUGAUAUAAAACUUAGGUGGGACCCAAAGACCUCUAAUCCGCAAGUUAAAUGGACACUUCGUUUACUCACAGCCACUAAAAGCAUCCCCAAGUCUAGGAAAACCUAACUGACCCCCAAUUCCUACUCUGAUGUUAUUAACCCAGUGCCUCAGGGGGGCGCCCCAGAGCAGGGUAACUGAAAAUCAUUCUCAGCCUUAAAAGAGAGUCUCUUAGAUGGUUUGCUAUUAAUUAGGUCAGCAAGCCCUCUAAACACAUCAUUUCAAUGAGCUGGCUGAAUGCAAAAUGGGGGAAAACCAAAUUGUUGACUGACUGACGUGAUCCCCGAGGACACUUAACGUUGGAAUCUUAGAUAUCAAAUACCUGUGUAUUCCCUUUACCUUACACGUUCUUAAAUGUGUUAAAUAAACGUGUUUUCCUCGACCUGG